GGGGCUGCUUUGGUUUCGACAGAAAUGAUAACGAUGAAAUGGCAAGUAGGUGUACUCCUUUCGUACAAAAAAAAUAAAUGCAAAAAAUUUAAAAAAUGCAGUUGCUUCAAUGUUUAAAGCAAACACUGUAGCUUUUGCCUAAUUAAUUAGGAACUGCAACUUUCUUUUAUUCUUUUCCUACGGGAAUAUUAGAAGGUUCGAUUGAGUAGGAUAUAUUCUUAUUAUGUCUAUCUGUAAGAAUGAAAUUUUAUAGACUUACUAGUUGAUUGUUUGUUAAUUAAUUGUUAACUAGGAAAUCAUGUAAUUAACUAAACUUGUAGAGGUUUCAUGGAAGUUAUUUUUGGACAGGGGUUCAAUUCCCCUCAGCUCCACCA
rnacentral:tmRNA from 1 species